ACGAGGCACUACGGUGCUGAAGCAACAAAUGCCCUGCUUCCAGGAAAAGCCUCUAAGCAUCAGGUAACAUCAAAUCGUACCCCAAACCGACACAGGUGGUCAGGUAGAGAAUACCAAGGCGCUUGAGAGAACUCGGGUGAAGGAACUAGGCAAAAUGGUGCCGUAACUUCGGGAGAAGGCACGCUGAUAUGUAGGUGAAGUCCCUCGCGGAUGGAGCUGAAAUCAGUCGAAGAUACCAGCUGGCUGCAACUGUUUAUUAAAAACACAGCACUGUGCAAACACGAAAGUGGACGUAUACGGUGUGACGCCUGCCCGGUGCCGGAAGGUUAAUUGAUGGGGUUAGCCGCAA
rnacentral:rRNA from 1 species